rnacentral:lncRNA from 1 species
CUGGGCAACAGAACAAGACCCUCUCAAAAAAAGAAUAUACUGUGCCACAGUAGCAGAUUAACCCUGCAUGUCAGUCAAAAUUCAGCCAAAGAAUUAGAACCAACAAGAGUAUAUUACGGGAUUUUUUUCCAGGGAGUUGACCUUCUAUAAUUGUAAAUCUAGUUUAGCCAUCUCUGUAAGGCUAUUGUCUUCACAGCCACUGCUGGAUCUUAAGAGUCAGUUAGUCAGAGAAGAUGGAUAUGAAGUGGAAGGGAGCAGGCAUUGGCACAAAUGGAAGCCCAUGAGGACAGGGGGACUGAAACUUAUGUGAGUGCUUGUCCCCUCUGACCUGGGUGAUAUGGGUGUCAUGCAGAGGCUGGAGCCCAUUGUCACAGAGUGAAACACACAUAGGGCCCAGGAAUCAGAGGAACUGAAGGAGGCUCGAAGGGAAGAUAGAGCAACUACAGACCAAGCCACUACCUCAUACCAAGCAGGGAGUCAGCCGAUCACCAGCAAUGUAUAUGGGCCACAGAAUGACUAAUGCUUCACCUCAAUGCUCC